UACGUAGGGUGCGAGCGUUGUCCGGAAUUACUGGGCGUAAAGAGCUCGUAGGUGGUUUGUCGCGUUGUUCGUGAAAACCUGAGGCUUAACCUUGGGCGUGCGGGCGAUACGGGGCAGACUAGAGUGCGGUAGGGGGAGACUGGAAUUCCUGGUGUAGCGGUGGAAUGCGCAGAUAUCAGGAGGAACACCGAUGGCGAAGGCAGGUCUCUGGACCACAACUGACGCUGAGGCGCGAAAGCAUGGGGAGCGAACAGG
rnacentral:rRNA from 1 species